rnacentral:rRNA from 1 species
AUGCAUGUCUCAGUACAAGCCGCAUUAAGGCGAAACCGCGAAUGGCUCAUUAAAUCAGUUAUGGUUCCUUAGAUCUUACGCUUUUUACAUGGAUAACUGUGGUAAUUCUAGAGCUAAUACAUGAAACCGGUACCCCGACUUUACGGAAGGGGUGCUUUUAUUAGAACAAAACCAAUCGGUCGGCUCGUCCGUCCGUUGCCUUGGUGACUCUGAAUAACUUUGGGCUGAUCGCACGGUCCUAGCACCGGCGACGCAUCUUUCAAAUGUCUGCCUUAUCAACUGUCGAUGGUAGGUUCUGCGCCUACCAUGGUUGUAACGGGUGACGGGGAAUCAGGGUUCGAUUCCGGAGAGGGAGCCUGAGAAACGGCUACCACAUCCAAGGAAGGCAGCAGGCGCGCAAAUUACCCACUCCCGGCACGGGGAGGUAGUGACGAAAAAUAACGAUACGGGACUCAUCCGAGGCCCCGUAAUCGGAAUGAGAACACUUUAAAUCCUUUAACGAGGAUCUAUUGGAGGGCAAGUCUGGUGCCAGCAGCCGCGGUAAUUCCAGCUCCAAUAGCGUAUAUUAAAGUUGUUGCGGUUAAAAAGCUCGUAGUCGGAGGUGUGUCUCGGACGGUCGGUUCGCCGCUUGUCGGUGCUCAACUGGCCGGUCCGGACGUCCUGCCGGUGGGGCUGUAAAAGGCUCCGUUAUCCUUCUUUGGUCCUCUUCAUUGAGUGCCUUGGUGGGCCGGCACGUUUACUUUGAACAAAUUAGAGUGCUCAAAGCAGGCCGUUGGUCGCCUGAAUACUGUGUGCAUGGAAUAAUGGAAUAGGACCUCGGUUCCAUUUUGUUGGUUUUCAGAACUCGAGGUAAUGAUUAAUAGGGACGGACGGGGGCAUUCGUAUUGCGACGU